rnacentral:rRNA from 1 species
AUUGAACGCUGGCGGCAGGCCUAACACAUGCAAGUCGAACGAGUGGCGGACGGGUGAGUAAUGUCUGGGGAACUGCCCGAUAGAGGGGGAUAACUACUGGAAACGGUAGCUAAUACCGCAUACCAUCGGAUGUGCCCAUAUGGGAUUAGCUAGUAGGUGAGGUAAUGGCUCACCUAGGCGACGAUCCCUAGCUGGUCUGAGAGGAUGAUCAGUCACACUGGAACUGAGACACGGUCCAGACUCCUACGGGAGGCAGCAGUGGGGAAUAUUGGACAAGGGGCGAAAGCCUGAUCCAGCCAUGCCGCGUGUGUGAAGAAGGUCCUCGGAUUGUAAAGCACUUUAAGUUGGGAGGCGUUACCAACAGAAUAAGCACCGGCUAACUCCGUGCCAGCAGCCGCGGUAAUUC